rnacentral:rRNA from 1 species
AGAGUUUGAUCCUGGCUCAGGAUGAACGCUGGCGGCGUGCCUAACACAUGCAAGUUGAGCGGAGUUAUUUUCAGGAAGCUUUCGGGUGGAAUGAACUUAACUUAGCGGCGGACGGGUGAGUAACGCGUGGACAACCUACCCUGUACAGGGGGAUAACAAUGGGAAACCAUUGCUAAUACCCCAUAACACCUUUUAGGGGCAUCCCUUUAAGGUCAAAGAAUUUCGGUACAGGAUGGGUCCGCGUCUGAUUAGCUAGUUGGUGAGGUAAUGGCUCACCAAGGCGACGAUCAGUAGCCGGCCUGAGAGGGUGAACGGCCACACUGGAACUGAGACACGGUCCAGACUCCUACGGGAGGCAGCAGUGGGGAAUAUUGCACAAUGGGCGAAAGCCUGAUGCAGCAACGCCGCGUGAGCGAUGAAGGCUUUCGGGUCGUAAAGCUCUGUCCUAAGGGAAGAUAAUGACGGUACCUUAGGAGGAAGCCCCGGCUAACUACGUGCCAGCCGCCGCGGUAAUUC